rnacentral:rRNA from 1 species
GACGAACGCUGGCGGCGUGCUUAACACAUGCAAGUCGAACGGUGAAGCGCCUUCCUUUUUGGUGGGUGUGGAUGAGUGGCGAACGGGUGAGUAACACGUGAGUAACCUGCCCCCUUCUUCUGGAUAACCGCAUGAAAGUGUGGCUAAUACGGGAUAUUCUGGGUCUGUCGCAUGAUGGGUCUGGGAAAGAUAUUGUUUCGGUGGGGGAUGGGCUCGCGGCCUAUCAGCUUGUUGGCGGGGUGAUGGCCUACCAAGGCGGUGACGGGUAGCCGGCCUGAGAGGGUGGACGGGCACACUGGGACUGAGACACGGCCCAGACUCCUACGGGAGGCAGCAGUGGGGAAUAUUGCACAAUGGGCGGAAGCCUGAUGCAGCGACGCCGCGGGAGGGAUGGAGGCCUUCGGGUUGUGAACCUCUUUCGCCAGUGAAGCAGGCCUGCCUCGUUUGUGGGUGGGUUGACGGUAGCUGGAGAAGAAGCGCCGGCUAACUACGUG